rnacentral:rRNA from 1 species
CAGGCCUAACACAUGCAAGUCGAACGGUGGCUUCGGCUACAGUGGCAAACGGGUGCGUAACGCGUAAGCAACCUGCCCUCAACUGGGGGAUAGCCCGGCGAAAGCUGGGGUAAACCCGCACGGUCCCUUUUAUUCCCCUGGUAGGAUGGGUAAACAUUGAUGGGUUGAGGAGGGGCUUGCGGAUGAUUAGCUAGUUGGCAGGGUAACGGCCUACCAAGGCGAUGAUCAUGAGGGGUGCUGAGAGGAUUGGCCCCCACAUGGGUACUGAGAUACGGACCCAAUGCCUACGGGAGGCAGCAGGAGGGAAGAUUGGGCAAUGGAGGCAACGAUGACCCAGCCAUGCCGCGUGCAGGAUGAAGGCGCUCAGCGUUGGAAACUGCUUUGACGCAUGAAGAACUGUGGGGAUGCGUCCUGACUUGACGUGAAUGAGGGAAGAAGCACCGGCGAACUCCGUGCCAGCAGCCGCG